GGUGCAUAGAAUGAAUUGAAAGAUUUGAUUUCAGGAACUUACCGGUUGAAGACGGAAGAAGGACGAAGAACGAACGAAGAAUGGUGAAGAACGAUGAAGAAUUUUCACAAAAUCGCUUACGAAAACGUCUCGAAAGCGUUAAGGAAGCACCUCGGCUUGAAUUUUCUUCACAAAAACACAUUUUUUCACCCAAAACAGCCGAAAUGCAUAGCCAAGGGGUCCAUAAUAUUUUUG
rnacentral:lncRNA from 1 species